CUUGGAAUCAGAAGUCUGGGGUUUGAGCCCUCUCUCUGCUGCUUGGGAGUUGUAUGACUUUUGGGAAGUAAUUUUUCCUCAUCUGAACUUGUAAGAUAAUGAAAUGAAUCUAAAUAAUCUCUAAAAUUUCUUCCGGCUCUGACAUUCUGUGAUUCUUUAACUGCGUGGGCAGGAGGCUGUGGGGAAGGGUGAUGACGGAGAGCCUCUGAUCUGCAGUAUGGAAAGUUAAAGGGGACUUCUGGGCAAACAUGGCUGCAGUUUAGAUGCAGGAAUCUACCUCUCCUCAGCCCCAAAACCUGAAUUCAUAUGAACAAAGGGACUCCACAGUUGGGCACAGCAUUGAAGUAAAAAAUGAUGAACAGGUUAAUUUUGGAAAUAUGGAAUGACCUACAUGAAAUUAUGAAGAAUGAAACAAACAGAUUACCAAGAUAACAUUUUAUAUAGCAACAGAAAUAUCACUUUCCAGAGGAAGAACUGAUAAACAGAAAUAAAUAAGACAUAGUUUUAUAUACA
rnacentral:lncRNA from 1 species